rnacentral:rRNA from 1 species
AGCGAACGCUGGCGGCAGGCCUAACACAUGCAAGUCGAACGGAUCCUUCGGGAUUAGUGGCGGACGGGUGAGUAACACGUGGGAACGUGCCCUUUGGUUCGGAACAACUCAGGGAAACUUGAGCUAAUACCGGAUGUGCCCUUCGGGGGAAAGAUUUAUCGCCAUUGGAGCGGCGCGCGUCUGAUUAGCUAGUUGGUGAGGUAAAGGCUCACCAAGGCGACGAUCAGUAGCUGGUCUGAGAGGAUGAUCAGCCACAUUGGGACUGAGACACGGCCCAAACUCCUACGUGAGGCAGCAGUGGGGAAUCUUGCGCAAUGGGCGAAAGCCUGACGCAGCCAUGCCGCGUGAAUGAUGAAGGUCUUAGGAUUGUAAAAUUCUUUCGCCGGGGACGAUAAUGACGGUACCCGGAGAAGAAGCCCCGGCUAACUUCGUGCCAGCCGCCGCAGUAACAC